rnacentral:rRNA from 1 species
CUCAGAAUCAACGCUGGCGGCGCGCUUAACACAUGCAAGUCGAGCGAGAAAGGGGAGCAAUCCCUGAGUAAAGCGGCGCACGGGUGAGUAACACGUGGGGCAUCUACCUCCUGAUGGGGAAUAACUCUGGGAAACCGGAGCUAAUACCGCAUAAGCCUGAGAAGGGAAAGUCGCAAGACGUCGGGAGAGGACCCCGCGGCCGAUUAGCUAGUUGGUGAGGUAACGGCUCACCAAGGCAAAGAUCGGUAGCCGGCCUGAGAGGGCACACGGCCACACUGGCACUGAAACACGGGCCAGACUCCUACGGGAGGCAGCAGUGGGGAAUCUUGCACAAUGGGGGAAACCCUGAUGCAGCGACGCCGCGUGAGCGAUGAAGCCCUUCGGGGCGUAAAGCUCUUUCGGCCCGAACGAUAAUGACGGUACGGGAAGAAGAAGCUGCGGCUAACUACGUGCCAGCAGCCGCGGUAAUACGUAGGCAGCAAGCGUUGUUCGGAGUUACUGGGCGUAAAGAGUGCGUAGGCGGUGUCGAAAGUUUGGCGUGAAAUCUCCCGGCUUAACUGGGAGGGUGCGCCGAAAACUGCGACGCUGGAGUGUGGGAAAGGCAAGCGGAAUUCCUGGUGUAGCGGUGAAAUGCGUAGAUAUCAGGAGGAACACCGGCGGUGUAGACGGCUUGCUAGACCAUAACUGACGCUGAGGCACGAAAGCGUGGGUAGCAAACAGGAUUAGAUACCCUGGUAGUCCACGCCCUAAACGAUGCAUACUUGGUGUGGGCAGUUCAUUCUGUCCGUGCCGGAGCUAACGCGUUAAGUAUGCCGCCUGGGGAGUACGGUCGCAGGCUGAAACUC